rfam:Danio rerio chromosome 25, GRCz11 reference primary assembly.
UUGAAAUGAAUUUGUACGUCGCUUUGGAUAAAAGCGUCUGCUAAAUGACUAAAU